AUCUGCGUAGAUGUCGAUAAAAAAAAUUAAUAAAUUUUUUUUCUAAUCUUCGCUCGAGAGGAAAGAAAAAAAUGCACGAAUAUACGCGCGUUUUAAUUUCUUUUUUGCCAAUACUUUUUUUCUUUGUCGAGCACAAUACUUAUAAAUAUUGUGAAAAAAAUUAAUCAAUUUUCUUCGAUCCUCGAUCCUCGGGAGGAAAGAAAAUAUCGAGCACUCUCGACUUUUUUUUUCUUUUUUCUUCAUCGCGAGUACUUCAUUUUUCGACCGUUGUAAAUUGCGAGUAUUGUAAAUAUCGUUUACGCAGUUCGCUUUAUGGAGGGAGGUGUUCUUUUUAUUGAACGAGAGGUAGAGGAUAUAUAAUACAAUGGGAAGAUUGAACGCGCGAAAGAAAGUGACUGGCAGAAGAUAAAUAUACAGUGGCGAGGAAUCGAAAGAAAAGAUUGGUAAUCGGAGCCUGCUCGGCGGCGAUGCAUCGCCUCGAAAAAGCGCGUGGAGAUUGCGGAGAUUGCGCGCGUUCAUCUCGCGAGAGCGUGAAAGGUCGAGUUAAAAAUAAUCGAGCAAACCGGAAAGGAAGAAGGCGAGAUCGCCUUCGUCCGUUCGAGAAUCGUCCUGCGAUUUUUUUUUCCUCCUCUUUUUCUUUUUUCUUUUUUUCUUUUUUUCCUCUCGCGGCGACCAAUACCACCGGUAAUGGCGAGGUUAAACCUGGCGAGAGAGAUUCUGUCGAAACUUUAAUUACUUCCUGUUGACCCCUCGCCGCGGAUAUCUCUGCAACACGCCGGGUCCGCCGGCUUGGUUUCGGUCCAGUGAUCGUCGGGUCAACAGCACACGGGAUUUACUACGGCCGUUCUACACCAGCUCGCAUAAUAUGUAACAAAUUAUAGAAUUCAGGGUGUACAGUUAAAGAUACUGGCGCGAUAUCGUGGCGAUACGCGUCGGAUACAUACAUUUGGCAAAACUGUUGGCGAACAUUAUUUUAUUGUAUCUUUAAUGAGAUGAAUUUAGUGAUCGUGCAGAGUAAUAAUGGAUUCGUGUAUUUUUUUUUUUUUUCGAAUCGAUCCACAAAGUUUCAAUUAAUUCUGUUUAGAUGUAACUUUGUUUAACAGAGUGUGAAAUAAAGCGAAAUUUUGAAUUACAAAAAUGUUCAGCGUUCCAUCACCUUGUUGUAAAAAAUAAUUCUGAAAUUGUAUUAAAAAUGUGGACAACUUUGAUUUUAUUCUCACAUUAACAGAAUUUUCGAGUUAGGUGAUUUUUUUCGUAAAAUAAUCUUCGAAUGUAUUCGUAAUCACUGUGCGUAAUUUAAAUGAAUCACUUUCAUGCGACUAAUCGACAAAUCGCAGAUAUAAAAUUUGCUUCUUUGCUUUUCUCCAACACGUACGUUAAACGGGAUGCAAAGCAAGGUAAGUGCGAUCUCAAACGAUCUGCAACACCGGUACUGUUGGUUCUGGUUGUUACCAACUAGCUAAUAAUAUACAUGCUUAAUCGAUGCAAUUCGAUAAUUUAUCUACAGAUUUAUUUGCCGAAGAAAGAAUACGAAUAUCCAUUUUAUUUUUCGACGUAGAGAGUCUUAAAAUAGUAAUGUAAAAAAAAAUGAAAAAGUUUGAGGAAUUUCAUAUGCAACGUAAAAAUAAAUAUUAUGAACUUUUAAUUUUUUUUUUAUUUUUUCUAAAUAAAUCAAGAGGUUAAUACACUGUCAUUUUUUAAGAGAAAUAAAUUAUGAAAAUAUAUGAUUGAUAGAAAGAUUUUAUUAAUGUAUAAGAAUAAUAAAAGAUAAUGUAUAAAUAUAGUAUAAUAAUCACAAUUAGAACAAUUUAUAACCACAUAAAUUGUGUUCAAAAAUAUCCAAACUACUUUGUUCUGUGAAAAAUGUUUAAGUUUAAAUUUAGAAGAAGAAUUUAUUUCAUCAUUUUCUAAUUAUCAAUAUGCAUACAAAGGUAUCAUAAAAAUUAUCUUUCGAAUAAAUGACAAAUACAGUAAUAUAAUUAAAAGUUUAUGAAACUCAAUUGUUGUUUGAGAGAUAUUUGUGUAAAUUUAAUAUUUAUAAGAAAUUAUCACAAGAAACAAUAAAAAAAAUUGGUCGAAAGAUCAUCACGUUCAAUGCAAUGAUAUCUAAUCAGAACCAACGAAUACAUUCAAUCACUAGCAAGCAAAUAAAUAAUUUAAAUAAAUAAUUCUUUAAAAAGUUAUUUCGAACAUAAAACAUCGCUAAUAACUUAAAAAACUAAUAAAAAUUUUAAUUACGAUAUAAAUGUUUAAGUAACAUUUUACUGAUAUUACAAAUCGUAUAUGAACAAUAAUGUAUAAUCAUUUGUCAAAAUCUUUACUUGAUGGUUCAUAUUUCUAUCCUAUCUCGCAUUUAUAUCCGUUCCCCUCGUAGGCUGAUGAGCUUUCUCGAAAAAAAAAUUUCCGCAUGCGUAAGACAUCUCUGUUCGCGUAACAAUCGAGUCAGACUUCUCCGCGGGAUACAAUUUACUGGAAUCACGGCCGAUCGAAGCGAACGAUUCGAUAUACCGUUCGGCUGCGACGGUAAUUCGCCUGAAUCCAAAAAAAAUCAAAUUUACAAAGCGAACGAGAUAGGCCGAUACGCAUUGUAUCAUAGAAGAACGGUCUUCCUGGUCAGCCGCAGCUCCUCUCUCAAAGACGCCGCGAACAUCGCCAAUAUUAUACCCUUUUUCCGUGUAAUAAACGAGUUACGCUUCUUCCUGCUUCGUUGGGAGUCAAAGCACGCUAAUAAUCGAAUACAGUCCAAGAUAAGCGCGUUUUACGAGCGUAAACUCUCCGAAAUUACGACAAUCACCGUUUAUCGAACGAUAUCUGUUAAUACUUGGUCACGAUACGCGCAUAUCUUAAUUGAAUUUCUGUUUCUAAGUAGAACGUGUCUUGGAACCUCUCAAGAUCUUCUAAAACGUGGUUCUAAUUUAAUCGCGAGAGAAGAAAGAAAGAAAGAAAGAAUUGGACGAUAAUUUUCACGCGUACGAUUACGAGACGAGAGAAAGAAGACGGAACGAAGAAGGAGAGAUUCGAAUCGUUUCAAAUGGACGUGCGAGAUUGAUAGACGGGAGGCCGAAGGAGGUGUCCGUCACUCCCACGAGCGCGAUUAAGUGAAUCAAUUAUGGCAAUAACUGGAGUGACCAGUCUGGCCAGGGGGCGAUUGGCGAACAAUGUAGAUCAAAUUAUAUCCCCGUAGAAGUUGUACGGCUCGCGCAGCCAAGCUCGUGCACGCGUGCAUGCAUGCAUGCAUGCAUGCAUGCGGAGGAUGGUGCACAAUGGAUGCGCGCCGCCGCUUCCUCCAACGAGAAGUGAACGAGGUAAGGGAAGGAGCGAGUGUGACAAGGGGUGGGGAAGAGGAGAAGGAGGAGAAAUAUGCGGGUCGGUGAACCACGGCAAGGAUGCACACCGACGGGUGGAUGCUGGUGCUCCUUGGAUUUUUGUCCACGAAACGAGAAGCCGAGAAAGAGAGAGAUAUACACGACCGACUCGCAUCCAACUCUCUUUGAGAUCGAUAACAGUGGAAUAAGGAUCUGUUUAACGAACCGGAACGAUUUGAUACGAAUAAACCGUGGCUCAUAAAUAAAAUGAACAAUGUACGGGACUAUGGCUUUUGUUCUUGUUUCCUAGCCGCUAUUCCUGGAGACACGAGCGGAAAAACGGUAGCUUGGAUGAAUUGGAUGGACGUUGUGGUUACAAGAAUAUAACCAAUAGCCGCCUGAUAUUUGAAAAUAUUUGAUUCGAGGAAGAUGACAAGCAGAAAAGCAAUGCCUAUUGGACACUAUUGCCCCACUACUUGAUAUCCCUACUUCACACGUAUUUUCGCAAUUGGCCGAAACGGUCACAUCUACAAUCGAAUCGUGUGACAAAGAAAAUAAAUGAACAUAUCAAGUGUGACUGGAACAGAACGAUGCCGUGACGAUAAUUUCAAAGCAUUGGCGUAAACUCUCAUAAGUAAAGAGUUAACUAUUAACGAAAUAUCCUUAUCCUCAUAGUGUAUAAGAAUCUUACUACUAUGUACACUAAUGUUAAUAAUAAUAUGCUCAGUAAAGCAAACGAAAUUUCGAUUUCCAUCUUUUCGUGGCCGAGCAAUAUAUAUCAUUAAUCAAUGGCUAUCGUAAUGAAGAGAACGUGCGAGAUAGGGAGUGCAUGGCCUCAGAAGCCGAUAAAAAAUUGGUAUGUGUGUCGCUGUUGGCGAAGGAACAAGACAAACGAGUCGCGUUCCAUAAAUCGUCGCGUUCGGUUUAAGUGGCGAGUGGUGGUAGUAAGUGGAGUACUGGGGCGAAAAACUACCUCCCAGAUCGGCUCGAUCUCGCACGUGAACGCGUGUGCACUGUAUACCGUGGCGAUCCGUUACAUCGGAGAAAUGUUCGAUCGGUUACUCACAUACAUACACUUUUUUCAUCCUCGUAUUAUCGUAAUAUCGCCCUUGCACUUUUUUCCACUUCAUUAUAUAAAUUUAUCGCAAUAGAAAUGUAUAUAAUUUCUCUACGAUUUGAUCGAUGCAUGAUGAAAUGAAAUUUCGAAUUAUGAUUUCUCAUUCUUUCAUUUUCUUCCUAUUUAGUUUUCAGUGUUAUUCGAUUACAGUUUUCAAAAAUUGUUAUCGAUACUCGUUCGUUUUGUCUGAUAAUUAAAAAGAAUCGAAAUGUAAUAUUUUCUAAACUUGUGCAGAUUGAAUAUCAUAAAUAGAAUAUUUCGAUAUAUCAAGUUGGACUUAUUUUAUAAUUCAUAGUAUGUACAGCGUAUCUCGAUUAUUGUAGAAUCGUUGCUCGCGGUCAUAUAUCUUUUAAAUGUUAGGUAUUCGACUACAAACCGCGAAUAAAAAAUUUACGUGUAUAAGUAUACACUAUGUAUACACAUAGAGCAUGCAGAAACGGUAACGCAUAAGAUCAUGGUCGUAAGUUAAUUUUAUAUAUUCUUUUUUACAUAUUUUUUUUUGUUUUCUUCGUCUUCUCACGCACAGUUAUCCAGACUACGUUUUUCGCGUGGAUUUGGAUAACGGGAAUAGAAGGACUCGUGCGUUUCGCGCAUGACAUUACCGACUGCUGAAUCAAGAAUUUUGGCCCAGUUCUUUUUACAUUAUUCCCUGUUUAAGAAAGAUAAUUCCGUUCGUUUCGCGUGAAUGCAUUAGGGCGUUCGUAGCCAGAAGAAAUGUUGGCGUGUAAUUCGAGCUUUCCCUGAGCUCGAUCUUUAAUAGAAUUUUCAUUGAAUGAUAUGCGAGGGGGAAUCGCGAUUGUGUGGGGAACGUUAGGUAUACAUGCGCUUAAGGAAAUUGCAUAUUAAAGAUAAUUAGACUAAAACGAGGUAAGAGGGACGGAAUAUUAAGCGAUUAAGAAGAAAUGCAUCACUGCGUGCCAGAGAAAUUAUCGACCAAGGUCGAUGUUGCUACCCGAUAAACACGCGCAGUCCUCAUUCAUAUAAUCUUUUUUCUUUGAAUUUAUCUUUCCAGAAGUUAUCUAUAAAUUAAGUAAUUCGAUUAAAUGACGUAUGUUUUUAUUUGAGAAAUUUUACUUUUUGUCAAAAAAAAAAAAUUCUAACAUGACGAGCGAUAAUAAUCGAUUCUUUCGAUAUAAAAAAUUCGUCUCGUAUUAAUGUAACGAGCGUAAAUAAGACGAGUAGAAUCAAUCUACAGGUUACAAGUUUUUUUCAUCGAACUAUAAUAUAUAGUUGAUGAGAAUUUAAUUAAUUGUAAACCGAUAACAUUAAUGAAACAUUAAUAUAUUCAAAUUUACAGUAGAUA